AGCAGCAUGGCGCAGUGGUAGCGCGCGGGGCCCAUACAGAUAGAGUUUGGUACCCCGAGGUCACUUGAUCGAAACAAGUUGCUGCUA